ACCAUCCUUUUCUUGGGGUUGCGCUACUGUCCAAUGAACNCAUUGUGAGGGCAGUACUGCUAACGCCUAAAAAAAAAGAAAUGGGUAGAGUAAAAUCUACNCAACC
rnacentral:snRNA from 1 species